CUCUUACCAACAGCUUACAGGGAUAUAUGCCACACCUUUGGUUUCUUGGAGCAGCACAGUCUAUGCAUGCAGCGUUCCUCCAUUCAAAACUUUAAACAUUUAGUGUGUGUGUGUGUGUGUGUGUGUGUGUGUGUGUGUGUGUGUGUGUGUGUGUGUGUGCGCGCGCGCGCACGUGCUCGAGAGCGCAUGCGCACGUGCCUGUGCCUGUGCCUGUGCCUGUGCCUGUGUGUGAAUUGUGUGUAGUAGUUAGGAAUUACUGAAUUGCUCAUAAUGGCUUGGAGCUUGCUAAGGUCAGACCAGCCUUGAUUUGGGAAUCCAACUUUCUCUGAAAUGGUCCUGGGAUUGAACACAGCACCAGCCCUCCCUGCGUGAUACUUAACAGUCUAAAUUUUUUUUUACACGUACUUGCACAUCAAAGUACUUUACCUAGAUUUUAACUUCUUUUGAAGGCUGUGAUUGCGUCUCAUCGACUUUAUGUCUCUAGUAGGGACGUUCAACAGGGUCUGUCAUGCUACCAUUCCUCAUGAAGGUAUGAAGAAUACACACAGGGAGCUGUUGGAGGAUUUCCUUAGGUGAGCUGAUUUUUGCUACUUCACAGUUCUUGUAGGGUGCAUUGUGAGAUCGUGUGGCAUAAAUUUCCUUCCAGGACUGUUCCAAAGGAGGGAGAUCUCCAUGGCUGUCUUAGGAUCGUGACUGUCCUGGGGACAUUAAAGUGCAUCGAUCUGGUUAAACGUCAAAUGGCCCAGUGAAGACAUUAUUCCUCCACUCUGGUCCUUGGUUUUAGCUCGUUUCCCAUGCAUGGCUUUCUCCUCUUUUUCUAAUGCAUGUGUGGUGACACCACCCUCUUUAAUCAUGGCAAAUCAUUUCAAAAUCCCUGUAGUAUGUUAUCAACAUGGUCUUAAGGAAUGGUCUUAUUUGACUUUCGGGGCUGGCAUUAUGUACUUCUGUGCCAUAAAAAAUAAAAAAAACUUUGAUUUUCU
rnacentral:lncRNA from 1 species